UACAGAGGGUGCGAGCGUUGUCCGGAGUCACUGGGCGUAAAGGGCGCGUAGGUGGUGGCUUAAGCGUGCGGUGAAAGCUCGGAGCUCAACUCCGAGUCGGCCGUGCGAACUGGGCUCACUGGAGCAUAGUAGAGGCAGGUGGAAUUCCGGGUGUAGCGGUGGAAUGCGUAGAGAUCCGGAAGAACACCGGUGGCGAAGGCGGCCUGCUGGGCUAUGGCGUGACACUGAGGCGCGACAGCGUGGGGAGCAAACAGG
rnacentral:rRNA from 1 species